rnacentral:rRNA from 1 species
UGACUCUGGGAUAAGCCUGGGAAACCGGGUCUAAUACCGGAUACGACCACCGUCCGCAUGGGCUGGUGGUGGAAAGUUUUUCGGUUGGGGAUGGGCUCGCGGCCUAUCAGCUUGUUGGUGGGGUGAUGGCCUACCAAGGCGACGACGGGUAACCGGCCUGAGAGGGCGACCGGUCACACUGGGACUGAGACACGGCCCAGACUCCUACGGGAGGCAGCAGUGGGGAAUAUUGCGCAAUGGGCGGAAGCCUGACGCAGCGACGCCGCGUGGGGGAUGACGGCCUUCGGGUUGUAAACCUCUUUCAGCAGGGACGAAGCUAACGUGACGGUACCUGCAGAAGAAGCGCCGGCUAACUACGUGCCAGCAGCCGCGGUAAUACGUAGGGCGCAAGCGUUGUCCGGAAUUAUUG